UACAGAGGUCUCAAGCGUUGUUCGGAUUCAUUGGGCGUAAAGGGUGCGUAGGUGGCGAUGUAAGUCUGGUGUGAGAUCUCGGGGCUCAACCCCGAAAUUGCACCGGAUACAGCGUUGCUUGAGGAUUGUAGAGGAGAGUGGAAUUCACGGUGUAGCAGUGAAAUGCGUAGAUAUCGUGAGGAAGACCAGUUGCGAAGGCGACUCUCUGGGCAAUUCCUGACACUGAGGCACGAAGGCCAGGGGAGCAAACGGG
rnacentral:rRNA from 1 species